AAGCCUAAUACUGGCAGUCGACGAGAGACCUUUCGGGUCCUCUAGUGGCGAACGGGUGAGUAACACGUAGGGAACCUGCCCGCGCACCGGGAAUACGCUCUGGAAACGGAGAACAAAUCCCGAUGUACAGGAAGGAGGCAUCUUCUUUCUGUGAAACAUCCUUUAGGGGAUGGGGCGCGGAUGGACCUGCGGUGCAUUAGUUGGUUGGCGGGGUAAAGGCCCACCAAGACGAUGAUGCAUAGCCGGCCUGAGAGGGCGGACGGCCACAUUGGGACUGAGACACGGCCCAGACUCCUGCGGGAGGCAGCAGUAGGGAAUUUUCGUCAAUGGGCGCAAGCCUGAACGAGCGAUGCCGCGUGAGUGAAGAAGGCCUUCGGGUCGUAAAGCUCUGUUGCGGGGAAAAAAGGGAGCAUCCGGAAAUGGGUGGUGACUGAUGGUGCCCCGCCAGAAAGUCACGGCUAACUACGUGCCAGCAGCCGCGGUAAUGCGUAAGUGGCGAGCGUUAUCCGGAAUGAUUGGGCGUAAAGGGUGGGCAAGCGGUCCUGGAAGUCUGGAAUGGAACGCAUGAACUCAACUCAUGGCUGGCUUUGGAAACUGGAGGAAUGGAGAACAAGAAAGGGCGGUGGAACUCCAUGUGUAACGGUAAAAUGCGUAAAUAUAUGGAAGAACACCAGUGGCGAAAGCGGGCGCCUGGCCUGUUGGUGAAGCUGAAGGACGAAAGCGUGGGGAGCCAAUAAGAUUAGAUACCCU
rnacentral:rRNA from 1 species